CAGAAAAACCAAAGGGAUAGGUUAGGUAUUUUAAUAAUUCAAAUCUCAUGAAUUGGAACCAAAAAUUCCGAAACAAAAAUAAGAGACUAUGCUCUGUCUCUUUCAAUAAUAAUUCUUCAGUUCAAAUUUUCUCUCAAUCUAAACAGCAACUAUUUAGUGUAGAUGGAGGUUAAUUUAACGGGAGGGGCGGUGGAUCUGAUCAUAAAGAAGAUGUUAAGCCACCGAUGGUUGCUGAACCGAAAGCUGAACCGAAAGCUGAACAAUCGAUAUCAAAUGGCGCGGUGAAGAUGGAGAUUGAUGAGGAAACUAAAGAAGAUGAGAUCUUGACCGAAGCCAACAGAGAAAAAGGUCAAGGAGAAGAAGAAGAUAUGGUUGUUCGCGAAAUCGACGUCUUCUUCUCUCCUUCAAUUGAUGCCGACGCUCAGUUAUAUGUUUUGCAAUAUCCUCUAAGGCCUUGCUGGCGACCAUACGAAUUGGAUGAGCGAUGCAAGGAGCUGAUGUAGAGAAUCCUAAGCUUGUUGCCUGGUCAGAUUCAGUGGUUGAUUUGCUUGAUUUGGAUCCUAAAGACUAAGGAUUGCUUUACAUUGGAUUUCAAAACAUAGUAGCGAAUGAAUGAUGAAUGGUGAUGGGCAUCAGGGAAAUCUGUAUUCCGUAUUUAGACCCUAAAAGCCAAAUUCCCAGGACUUUGUGUUUGAUGAAGAAAUAGAAGAAGAGGAUAGUUAAUGAAUAUGUGCGUGAAUAUAGGAUUUGUUCUGGCAGCUAUGGAAAAGUGGUUCUAUAUCGAAACAGUGUAGAUGGGAAACACUAUGCUAUUCAGACCAGAUUUUCCCCUUAAAUUUUAUGGGGCUUCUCCCUUGGCAGGAGCGGUGCCAUAUGCUCAAUGCUAUGGAGGACAUCAGUUUGGCACGUGGGCUGGUUGACUGGGUGACGGUCGUGCUAUUACUAAGGCGUGAAGCUGAGGAGAUUCAAAAGAUUGUAGUUUUCGAAGGUGCAUUUGAAAAAAAAAUUAUUAUCAUGGAGGAGGAAGGAGGUUUUGAUGGGGGUGUGGUUGUGCAGAUGGUUCAUCAAAUUUAAUUCUGGACCUCAAUGAAUUUGUUUUGGCUUGUUUGUUGUUAGAGCAAUUAUUUUAUUUUCCUUUUUUUUUUUGUAAAUUCUUUUUACAUUGUCUGUGACUUCUUUAGCUAAGUCAUGUGUAGUGUAUUUUGAUUGUUGGAUCGAUUUUUGUAGUGAAUAUUCAACCUUUAUUUUAAUUUUAUAUUUUUUAGUUACAUUUAAA